rnacentral:SRP_RNA from 1 species
UGCCGGUCCCCCCGCGACGAUAAGUUGUGAACCCCGUCAGGCCCGGAAGGGAGCAGCGGCAGCAGCGGAUUCGGGCGCCGGGGUGUGGCUGGUGCGA